UACGAAGGGGGCUAGCGUUGCUCGGAAUCACUGGGCGUAAAGAGCGUGUAGGCGGCCAAGUAAGUCUGCUGUGAAAACUCGAGGCUUAACCUCGAGCUGUCGGCGGAAACUAUUUGGCUAGAGUCCGGAAGAGGAGAAUGGAAUUCCCGGUGUAGCGGUGAAAUGCGCAGAUAUCGGGAAGAACACCCGUGGCGAAGGCGGUUCUCUGGGACGGUACUGACGCUGAGACGCGAAAGCGUGGGGAGCGAACAGG
rnacentral:rRNA from 1 species